rnacentral:misc_RNA from 1 species
GAUGAAGAACGUAGUGAAAUGCGAUACUUGGUGUGAAUUGCAGAAUCCCGUGAACCAUCGAGUCUUUGAACGCAAGUUGCGCCCGAAGCCAUUAGGCCGAGGGCACGCCUGCCUGGGCGUCACACGUCGUUGCCCCCCCCAUCUACUCCUUCGGGAUUGCGGGGGGCGGAUGAUGGCCUCCCGUGCGCCUCGCCGCGCGGUUGGCAUAAAUGCCAAGUCCUCGGCGACGCACGCCACGACAAUCGGUGGUUGCGAAACCUCGGUUGCCCGUCGUGUGCGGUCGUCGCGCAUCGAGGGCUCGAAAAAAUUGUCGAGUUCCGGCUCGGCUUUCAACGCGACCCCAGGUCAGGCGGGGUUACCCGCUGAAUUUAAGCAUAUCAAUAAGCGGAGGA